rnacentral:lncRNA from 1 species
UUUUUCCAGAAACUUACCGAACUCUCUCUCUUUCUCCUCUCCACUCCUAGUCGCGUUUUCUGGGGUCUUCUUUGUCUGGUCAUAUCUUCCUCCACAGGCCUCCAAUCGACAUGAUUCCAAAAGCAAUUUUUCUCGUCUUGACGUCGUCUAUAACUUCUCAGAAGACAUCGGGGUGAAAAACGAACUGUGGAGGGCGCUGUGAGGCCGAGAAGCCGCACAGCUCGAGCUGGAAAUCACCUCCCUUCACCGGCUGAUAUCUCCCACGUCCGGCGUCCAAUCGACUUGAUUCCAGUUGGGCUAGGAUCGCCUCCCCCUCCUCUACACGUUGGUACUUGUGGGUCUCUGCGAUUUGAUCGGAAAACCACGAAUUCCGGCAAUCACUGUUACUGUAGCAGUUGCAGUUUUCUGGAAAAUCUCCAGAUUCCGGCCACCUACGGCGGUAAACCUUAGUCCAUUGGAAGCGCCUUGAGAUGUAGAUGAUGGUCCAUGAACCUUUUACAGCAAUUUGAAGAGAGAAGGAAGGAUCGAAGGUUUGAAAUUAUGGGUCACUAUUCACAAAUCGGGUUCAAACUUCUCCUUAAUUGUUAAGGGCGAUGUACAUAGCUCGAUGAAGGAACUCGUAUGCGUGGUCGCCUGUAUAGUACUUGUGCAGGCGAAAUUAGUUGAGGUCGGGCGUACAUGGAGUUGAGGCAUAGUCAACAGCAUGGCUUCCGCGUUUUCCUUUGAAUUACGUUUUUCUUGUUUACAUUUUUUAUUAGAAUUGCUCUGAUUACCUAUGGGAUUAAUGUUAUUAAGUUGAGAUUUGUGUAAUGUGAAUUGAAAGAUGUUGUGAUUUGGGGAGCAGGGUGGCUCCAGGAGAAUAAGGAUGGGUGAUUUAGAAGUGUAAAUUUCAUUUCUCCAGGUUUUGGGUAGUCCAUUUUAGGGGAGUUCUGCCAAAUUUUUGGAAGAAUUUCUUCUAAGGUGGACCCUGCAAUAGCCACUUCGGAUUUCAGGGUGAAAUCCAGGGGCGGGUCCUGUCAUUCGCGGUUUAAGUACAAGAGAAACCAAACCAGUUCAUAAAUGGUUUGGUUCGGUUUUGAACCAAUUUUCAAUUUUUAAAAUUAAAACCUUAACUAAACCAUAUUUAUUGUUUGGCUUUGGCUGGUUUGGCCGGUUUGUACCAUUUUUUGCACGCCCCUACUUGUGAGUGUAAAAUGUAAAGUUUAUAAACAGCCAGAUCAAAUAAAAAUGACUAUUUUGUG